rnacentral:misc_RNA from 1 species
AAAAGUUGAAGGCUUCAAUUGCUCUUAAAAAACUCCUCAAACAAACGUUAAGAACCGAGGACAAAAAAAAGCAGUAUCUGAAAUAUUAGCAGCAAACAUGAAACCAAUAACAAUUGAGACAAUGAAAUAGAGCAAGAAAUAACAAACUUAUCAUCUCUAUCUAGUUGAUACUAAACUCUCCUCGUACCAAAUAGCCCGAAUGAGACGAUACGAUGUCCACCGAAAUUUUUUUCCUCUGUGAUUGAAGAUUGAUCCACUGUCAGUUUUGAUGGAUCGGAACCAAUUUUUCUUUACAUUGCACUCUAUUAACAGGUGAUCGUCGAGGAUCCCAAAUAUAUCUCCAUCCCUGGAAAUGCAAAGCGGUAGAAAACCCUUAUCACAACUCCAUACAUUCGGAUUAUGGAAGAGAUGUGGGGGCACUGUAAUCAAUUUGAUCCAAGAUUCUUUCACUCCAUACUCCUUCAUUAUCCAUACAUCAAUGCCACUAUCAAGUUCUCCCUUGCAUAAACAGAGCCAUCCAUUUACAACGGACAGAGCGCGCUUCCUGAAAGGUAAAGCUGGUUCUGGUUGUGGAAGCACUUGAAAUUUCUCCUCUGCAAGAUCAAAAGCUAUCAAGUCCAUAGUUUCAGAAGAAGAACUAGGAUUUGCUAUCCAAUGAAGAGCUCCGUUGGCAAAAACCCCAUAAUAGGGAUCAACAUUUCUAUAGAAUUCGACGUCCUGAAUUAUUCCCCAGGUAUUUGUUUUCAGAGUAAGCACUUGGACAUGAGAUUUAAGAGGAGAUAGUCCCAUGCUGAAACCGUAUACAACUACCUUGUAAUCAUCAAUGGAUUUAUCAUAACCAAAGCCAUGGCAACAAGACCCCUGAUUGAUUAAAAAGCACAAGUCAGAUUGUGGUAACUCCUUUAAAUCUCCUGUUGAUGGAUUCCAUACAAACAACUCGUUCAUCACACUCAUCAUAAAUAUCAAGCCAUUGCAAGAGCCACAUAUACUGACCCAUGCUUCUUUCAAUGGAAAUUGGAAUUUUACCAUUGCUUGAUAAUAGACACAUUUGUCGACUACAGCUUCAUAAUCUACAGAAUGAUAUUCUUCAACAGCAGCCCCGUCAAAUCUUACGGCCAGGCAGUGCAAGAACAAUCUAGGCGACUUGGAAUGGAGUUUAACAAAUUGUGGGUCGGUGAUGAUUGAGUACCAUGACUUGCAUACGCUCUUGAAUUUCAGCAGAGAUUUAACGGGUAAUUUUGUCAGUAUCUCUAUAAUCAAAUCCCGGGGAAGUCUUGGCAUUGAUAUUGACAUGGCUUCUUCGUUCAGCAUCAUGAGCUUCACGAACACAAGUCCACUUUGCUUUGCUAUGGCACUUAACACAAAUCAGGAUCUCAAAGUCAUUGUUCUUUUCAUAGCAACUUUAGGUCGAAGGUCACAGAAUCCAUG